rnacentral:lncRNA from 1 species
CAGAAAGCUAGUGGAGAUAUUUUUUGAAACACUGGAAAACUAGCAAUUCUAUCUCAUAGAUAACAUAAGGUCUAUACACCAGUGCUCUCUGAUGCCCUUUGGAUUUAAACAGAGCUUCUUGGAACGUACGUCAUGUCAGAAAAUGAUUUCAUACACUGCAGUAAAUAUAUAUGAGGACAUACAUUCCAUGCUGUAGAAACUGGGUAAGAUAUAAUUAAUAGAAUAAACGCAUGGUAUAAAAAUAACUGUGAGGAUUGAUAUCAGAUAAUAAUAUGUCAUAGUUUGAUUCAAAAGCUCCCUGAGUACUGGGGCCACAUCUAAUUCAUCUUUGUCUUCUACACAGGAUGUGAUACUAAAUGAUUGUUUGUCGAGUUAGUGUGGUUGCCCCUAGGAAUUGUUCUGUAUCCUUCAAGUGGACUUAUGGCUUGUAAUUAGGUUCAGUAAAGUUGCAAGAUAUAAAAUCAACAUACAGAAAUCAGGAUUAUUCACAAUAGCCAAGACAUGGAAACAACCUAAGUGUCCAUCAACAGAUAAAUGAAUAAAGAAGAUUUUGGGUGUGCGUGUGUGUGUGUGUACACACACACAAUGGAAUAUUAUUCAGCCAUGAGGAAAA